rnacentral:rRNA from 1 species
UACAGAGGUCUCAAGCGUUUGUUCGGAUUCAUUGGGCGUAAAGGGUGCGUAGGUGGGCAGGUAAGUCAGUGGUGAAAUCCCCGAGCUUAACUUGGGAACUGCCGUUGAUACUAUCUGUCUUGAAUAUCGCGGAGGUAAGCGGAAUAUGUCAUGUAGCGGUGAAAUGCUUAGAUAUGACAUAGAACACCGAUUGCGAAGGCAG